rnacentral:rRNA from 1 species
GCGAACGCUGGCGGCAGGCUUAACACAUGCAAGUCGAGCGGGCGUAGCAAUACGUCAGCGGCAGACGGGUGAGUAACGCGUGGGAACGUACCUUUUGGUUCGGAACAACACAGGGAAACUUGUGCUGAUACCGGAUAAGCCCUUACGGGGAAAGAUUUAUCGCCGAAAGAUCGGCCCGCGUCUGAUUAGCUAGUUGCUGAGGUAAUGGCUCACCAAGGCGACGAUCAGUAGCUGGUCUGAGAGGAUGAUCAGCCACAUUGGGACUGAGACACGGCCCAAACUCCUACGGGAGGCAGCAGUGGGGAAUAUUGGACAAUGGGCGCAAGCCUGAUCCAGCCAUGCCGCGUGAGUGAUGAAGGCCCUAGGGUUGUAAAGCUCUUUUGUGCGGGAAGAUAAUGACGGUACCGCAAGAAUAAGCCCCGGCUAACUUCGUGCCAGCAGCCGCGGUAAUACG